UAAAGCCACCACAAGUGAAUUCACUCAUGAACCAUGUAAAGGCUGGUGCUUUACAGGUUUUCCUCGUAAAAACGCCAUGGUCAUGCUUUUAUGUUCUUUAACUUCUUUUGGAAUGAACUCACACGAAAGCACCUAAACUACAUAUGUCGAGAGAGUAUAAGAUGGCAUUCACAUCACA